rnacentral:rRNA from 1 species
AUUGAACGCUGGCGGAAUGCUUUACACAUGCAAGUCGAGCGGCAGCGCGGGGCAACCUGGCGGCGAGCGGCGAACGGGUGAGUAAUGCAUCGGAACAUGUCCAUGUCGUGGGGGAUAGCCCGGCGAAAGCCGGAUUAAUACCGCAUACGCUCGAGAGAGGAAAGCCGGGGACCGCAAGGCCUGGCGCGAUUGGGUUGGCCGAUGUCCGAUUAGCUAGUUGGUGAGGUAAAGGCUUACCAAGGCGAUGAUCGGUAGCUGGUCUGAGAGGAUGAUCAGCCACACUGGGACUGAGACACGGCCCAGACUCCUACGGGAGGCAGCAGUGGGGAAUUUUGGACAAUGGGGGCAACCCUGAUCCAGCCAUUCCGCGUGAGUGAAGAAGGCCUCGGUUGUAAGACUCUUUGUUCCGGAGCGAAACGGAAGUAGGUGAAGUAUCCACUUCUACUGACGGUACCGGAAGAAGUAAGACACCGGCGUAACUACGUAGCCAGCAGCCGCGGUAAU